rnacentral:rRNA from 1 species
AUUGAACGCUGGCGGCAUGCCUUACACAUGCAAGUCGAACGGCAGCACGGGUGCUUGCACCUGGUGGCGAGUGGCGAACGGGUGAGUAAUAUAUCGGAACGUACCUUAUUGUGGGGGAUAACGCAGCGAAAGCUGUGCUAAUACCGCAUAAUCCCUAAGGGGGAAAGCGGGGGACCGUAAGGCCUCGCGCAAUUAGAGCGGCCGAUACCUGAUUAGCUAGUUGGUGAGGUAAAGGCUCACCAAGGCAACGAUCAGUAGCUGGUCUGAGAGGACGAUCAGCCACACUGGGACUGAGACACGGCCCAGACUCCUACGGGAGGCAGCAGUGGGGAAUUUUGGGCAAUGGGGGCAACCCUGAUCCAGCAAUGCCGCGUGAGUGAAGAAGGCCCUCGGGUUGUAAAGCUCUUUUGUCAGGGAAGAAACAGCAGCUCUAACACAGUUUACGAAUGACGGUACCUGAAGAAUAAGCACCGGCUAACUACGUGCCAGCCGCCGCCGUAA